AUUGAACGCUGGCGGCAGGCUUAACACAUGCAAGUCGAGCGGGGUGAUGGUGCUUGCACUAUCACUUAGCGGCGGACGGGUGAGUAAUGCUUAGGAAUCUGCCUAUUAGUGGGGGACAACAUCUCGAAAGGGAUGCUAAUACCGCAUACGUCCUACGGGAGAAAGCAGGGGAUCACUUGUGACCUUGCGCUAAUAGAUGAGCCUAAGUCGGAUUAGCUAGUUGGUGGGGUAAAGGCCUACCAAGGCGACGAUCUGUAGCGGGUCUGAGAGGAUGCUCCGCGACACUGGGACUGAGACGCGGCCCAGACUCCUACGGGAGGCAGCAGUGGGGAAUAUUGGACAAUGGGGGGAACCCUGAUCCAGCCAUGCCGCGUGUGUGAAGAAGGCCUUAUGGUUGUAAAGCACUUUAAGCGAGGAGGAGGCUCUUUUGGUUAAUACCCAAGAUGAGUGGACGUUACUCGCAGAAUAAGCACCGGCUAACUCUGUGCCAGCCGCCGCCGUAA
rnacentral:rRNA from 1 species